UACGAAGGGGGCUAGCGUUGCUCGGAAUCACUGGGCGUAAAGGGCGCGUAGGCGGCCGAUUAAGUCGGGGGUGAAAGCCUGUGGCUCAACCACAGAAUUGCCUUCGAUACUGGUUGGCUUGAGACCGGAAGAGGACAGCGGAACUGCGAGUGUAGAGGUGGAAUUCGUAGAUAUUCGCAAGAACACCAGUGGCGAAGGCGGCUGUCUGGUCCGGUUCUGACGCUGAGGCGCGAAAGCGUGGGGAGCAAACAGG
rnacentral:rRNA from 1 species